rnacentral:rRNA from 1 species
UACGUAGGGUGCAAGCGUUGUCCGGAAUUAUUGGGCGUAAAGAGCUCGUAGGCGGUCUGUCGCGUCGGAUGUGAAAAUCCAGGGCUCAACCCUGGACCUGCAUUCGAUACGGGCAGACUAGAGUUCGGUAGGGGAGACUGGAAUUCCUGGUGUAGCGGUGAAAUGCGCAGAUAUCAGGAGGAACACCGGUGGCGAAGGCGGUCUCUGGCCAUAACUGACGCUGAGGAGCGAAAGCGUGGGAGCGAACAGG